rnacentral:other from 22 species
GAUCUGGCGGAGAGGGAACGCAUCUGGAAGAUGUGUCUUCAGGACGAAGAACACAGGGACUGCUUAGGACGAGUGAAGGGACGUUUCAGGAUGAAACAAGGGACACCUCCAGGAUGGAGAUUGAGAGCCAGUUCAGGAUGAUUGGUGGGUUAGGAUAGCCUAAGGAUUAACGCCGGGAUGGUGUAUAACAUUGCGAUGGAUUGCUGGUUAGUAUAACCAUACGGAAAAGUUUUCAGGGAUUGAGCAGGGAGCAUCAAUUUUAGCUGGAUUGCUAUAAAACGAAUUGAGGGGUACUGGUAAAACAGUACCCCUUUUUUUGUUU